AUCACAAAUACAAGCUCCAUAGGAAUUUCCUUACAUUUAAUACCGCAACCUGCAAAGGAAAAAUUAAAAAAAGAAAAGAAAUCACAAUGAUUUUACUUGGUAUCCUUUUGGAAAGGAGAAGAAUGUAAAUGUAAUGAAGGAAGAGUCUGAAUAAUAACGGUUUCCUGAGUACUUACCACAUAUCUCUUUAAUUAAUUUAAUUAUAUCUUCUCUCUGGAUAUGAAAAAAAAGUACAUAUAUAAAACCAUUUUACCAUUUGCCUCUUUCAAAUGAGGUAUAAUAUUGAUACCACCAAAGAUUUUGUUUGUAAGGAAUAUAUGUGUCCUACAGGGACAUACAAAAAAUCUCACUGCUUAACUUUCAAACCUGACCUUCCAAGCUUGGAAUGAAUUCCACAUUUUACAAUAAACUUAUAUGGCAUAUAAGAACCAUUAACUUGCCAACACAAUGACACUUCUAUCUAAAACAAUUAACUACUGUAAUGUAAAUAAUGUUUUGUGAUUAUUUGGUUCUUAUUAAAACUUUAAAAGUCAAAAUUCAUUCAUAUUUUAGCACCUGAAUAAUAUGGAUACCCAUUCUAUAUCUAUUGGGAGUGGAAAAAUAGACCCAGCUGCAGGAAGCGUAUUGCUUGUAGUGAGCUGGUGUAUGACAGUGUGACAACACAGAAUGGAACUGGGACUGGUGAACUUAAGUGUGCCUGGCCCACUGUGUUACCCGGCUUUCAGUGCCAAAAAAAGAGCUGCUGCCUUUAGAGCUGUCUGAUCAGAGAAGUGAUAGCUUCAUGACAUGCAAACAAGUGUUUUUGCAUUACUAGAGCAAACUUUUUUUUUUUUUUUUAAGUGUAUGACAGGAUUCAUUUGGCACUCAGUUAGUCUUUCAGAUACAACUUUUUGCUACUGCUGCUCAGCUUCCACCAUAAACCUCAAGAGUAUUUAUAUCUCACUGACAUGUUUAAUGUAUUUGGGUCUAGUGCAGCUCAGACUUAGCAGAAGUAUAAUUAAGUCUGUAGCGUGAUAUACUGUAACAGGUUUGAAGAUCUUUGCUCUUUAGACUCUAUUUCAGCACAAAGUAGAGGAGAAAAAGUCAGAAACCUUUGCGUGGUUUCUUUAUUAUUACUGAGACCACUUCUAGUCAGAAAGCUCUUUCCAAAAUAACUAACAUAAGAUACAUUUGAUAGUAUAUUUCAUUUUGUUUAUAUCUUGCAUUAAUGUGAUUUAAAUAAUGGAAUUUGCUUACUGUUAGGCCUUGCUCUCCUUUUGGUCCAGUUUUGCCCUGUAACAGUGAUAGUUAAUUAGGCUACUGCAAUUAGUUAAUAACAUUGUAAUUCAGAACAUGAUUUCAUCAAUACCAUUAUUAGAAUAAUACUUGGCCAAUAAGAACUUUGGCUAGAAAAAGUAGCAUUCAUGUGAUAUUACUUUGUGCAUACAGUAUUUACAACAUCCUAAUGUGAUGAGUUUUUUAUGGGAGUUGGAUGACCUCGAGUCUCCCACUGGAUCACUGGUUGUCAGUUUACAUGAGAAAGGGAGAUUGUGUGCAAAGCUCUUCUGUCUACCAUGUUGUGUUUGUUUCCUUUCUUAAGAGACUACACCUGCCUGACACCCUGGAAUGAUCAGAAUUCUGCUUCAUCAUGUGUGGUUCUAACAGAGACAGUGUCAGGGCAGGAACAGCAGUGGUAUUUAUGUAUGCCUACUUAUUAGCAUGCAAAUAUCAGCAUAGAAGGGUAUCGUAUUUUGCUUUCCAGCUUCUGGGGAGCUGCCCAGCAGCAGAAGUUACCAUUGCCUCCAUCUGUUGGCCAGCUUGGAGGGAAAGUCUGAGCUACAGUUACUUGGUAGCCAUAGGAUAGAAAUGCAUAGGUUUGUCUCAGAACAUGACAAUUUUAUUUCACUGCCUUAAGAAAGAACCCAUAUCUGUGUUUUGGAAGUGGGGUAUUCAGCAUGGAAAUGUCUUCCUUAUGCUUUUAAAUGUUUUCAUAGUUUCAGUUUCUUAAGUAAUUCAGAUUAUGUGUAGUUAAAUAGCAAAAACAACACACAACCUAGCUUUUUUAUUAAGCAGCUUCAGAAAACAGAUGUGAUAAACCUGAGUUACUCACAGGUUCUCCAGAUGAACCAGGGUCACCCACAUCACCUUUUUCUCCUUUUUUCCCCUUUUCACCUGUAGCUCCUCGAUCUCCCUUAAAACCAUGUCGGUAAGCAAAGUGUCAGUUUCUAUUACACUUCACAUUUCUCUCUAGCUGCCUUCAUCAAAUUCACCUUCAGCUUCUGACAUGAAUUAGAAUUGUACAUUAAAGAUAAUUUAAAUCAAUUGGUAUUUGUGAAUUUCAUGCAUAACUUGUAGUAUUGGCUAAGCAAUUUUUGGGAAAAAAUAGCUGAAGCAGUUUAAACAGUGAACCAUCUCAAACAAAUACAUGCAGACAGAGGAGUUUCAUGGGAUAUUUCAUGAUGGAAAUUACCAUCUGUGUCUGAGAAAAAUAAGAUAAUAGUAGGGAAAUUGAGAAGAAAGGCAAAGACAUAGGUGGAAUGAAUAAUGGAAAUAUCACUCUGAGAAAACUUUUUGCCCAGGAAAGGUGUUUGGAAUCACAAACAGAGGAAUUAGUGCCUCCUAGUUUGAUUAUUAAUAGGCUGUGGGACUUUGUACAGUCUUUCUGAGCUGAUGUGAUCGCAUCCAAACACUGAUUCCAACACACAUUUCUCUUAACAUUCCUGUAGCGCCUAAAUUUUGCAUGAUGGGUGGGUAAAAGAAAGGCCAUGAUAUUAAAUCCAAUAUCUAUCACAGAAUUCACAUGCCCCCAAUGCGAGCUGACUGUAAUGAGCAUUUUCAGUAUUUUGGCUUUGGUCUGAAACAUUAUCUCUGGUUUAGAUAUCAUACCUUCUGUCCCAAAAGUCCUUCUCCAGGGGGGCCUCGUGGUCCUGGCAUUCCUUGAAUUCCUUGUUCCCCCUAAUGAUAAUCCAGGUAGUGAUAUUAACCCUUUGUAAUCAUUCAUCGUGCAUUAAUUUUAAAUGUUUAAAGUGUUUCAAACUGCAUUUUAACAAGUAUCUUGAGGCACUUCAAGUAAUGUAGUAGCUAGCUUGUACUUCUCAAAUACUUCAUCAGUAUGUCUAAAAAUACUCUAAAAAUAUAUGAUAUCGAAAUAAACACAUUAUCAUUAUUGGUUCUAAUUCUCCUGAUCUCUCCACCCCAUCUUAUUCCUUCUCAUUCCUUCCACUGUGAUGGUCAAAUUGACUACUCAACACAGGUUAAAUAUUGAAGACACUGAGUCUUUUUACCUUAAUUCCUUGAAUACCUUCACCAGGAGGUCCCACAGAGCCAGGGAGCCCUGGGCGUCCCAUGAUUCCCUAGAGAGAAACUGCAUAAAUUAAAUACAAUAUUCAUGAUAAAAAUACACAAUAAAUUGUUGUACCACCAUAUAAUUUUCUGUCCUCAUCUACCAAAUCAAUGUCUUUUUAUAAGUAGUGAGGAUGAGAUUGCUCUAGCUGACAAAGAGUCUUUUUAUCUUAUAUCAGAUUAUUUAAAUCCAGUUUAUACUUCAAAGGAGUCCCUCGGCUUAAUGCUUACUGAACCUGAAUCACCUUGCUGAUAGAGAUAUACAUUGCAUUGAAAGAUGGAUUGUUUUGGUGGAACAUUGGGAACUGAACUAAGAUUUAAGACGUGAUUAUUAUUGCUAUGUUACCUUUCAUCACCAUUAAGCUUAGACAGUAAGGCCUAUAGACAUACUAAUGUGGCUUUGCAAAUAAACACUUGUUGCUAGUUCAUCAGCUAGUUUUUAAAAGAACUCUAGAGAAAAUGUUUCAGUUCCAUAUGUUAUUAAUAGGAAGCAAUCAAAACCCACAUAGUAUAAUAUUCUCAGUUUCCUCAUUUGUAAGGAUCCUGUGCACACACCAGCCCUUGGGACCAGUGCUGGCUGGGGAAGGGCUUCACCUUGCUCAGCUCUGGAUCAAGAAUUCAUGCCAACAUUAACUGAAUCUCUAGGACCAGUAAGACACGUUAUGAAGGAUACAGAUGAUGAUCUGAGAAACCAGAAUUACUUCACAUUUGAAUCAGUAUAGAAGGCCAGUACAAGAGCCAGAACCUAGAAGAUUGGCCCAGUUAUUCCUGCUCAGAGAAGUGGUAUUCCUAGCAAAGGGUUUAGCUCUUUGUGAACUUCUUGGACCAGAUACUGCCACAGGGAGAACAGUAGGAAUGCCUGGAGGGAAGCAGGUAGCCUGCAGACAGACAUGAACCAACCUUUUGUCCAGGGGCUCCAUCUUCUCCUGGAAGACCAGGCAGACCUGCAAGUCCUGAAGGGCCUGGCUCACCCUGACAUCAAUAAAAACUUUGUUUCCUGGAAGCAUAACAACUUUGUGGCUGCUUACUCUGUCUCCUUUUAUCCCUGGGAUUCCACAUUCACCUCUUGUACCCUGGAAAGGAACAGGAAUAAAUAUUUAUGAGCAAUUCUGCUCUAAGUUCAUUGGGGAAGGGACACAUCUAUUAGAGCCUGAGCAGCAGCUGAUUUCCCCUGGAAAGAAAAAAAAAAAGCAAAGCAGGUUGGGAGGAUAUAUAGACCAAAUGUAAGAAUGUGAGUAUCGGCGCUAUUAACAUUCGACUCUCCCUAGAAAAACAGCAUUUCAGGUUAUAAUGACCAAUUAGGUAGAAAAGGUGAUCUCUGAUAUGACUCUAAAUACUACACCUACUGGUCAUGAUAGAUUCUAUUGUAUGUGUGAACAAAUUUUACGAAAGUGUCACUUUAGACUGGGAUUUUAAGGAUGUAAAACAGAUCAGCUAGAGUUCAUUUUUCCAUCUUAGUGAGAAACAUGCUAAAAUAAGAAAGUAAGAAAAAUGUCACUAAUAAAAAAGGAUGUACUGGAUCAAUAUGAAAACAUAGAGUGAUUACUGUGUGAAUGAAUUCAGAGUUAAGCACUAAGAGACUCGUCCUGCGGUUACUUCUUAUAUGUAUUUUAUUCAAUAUUUUCAUUGCUAUUACUCACUGGAUCCUCUUUAUUUACCAAAUGAAAAAUGUAAACUUAGAUUAAGCUUAAUCUUAGAGUGUUAUAUCAGAGCUUUUCACACUUUUUAGGAGGGGCUAUGUGUUAUUAGAGAGUAUUUUCUAGAUCACUCUUAUAAGAAGGACUUAUUCGCUUUCUUUAAGCAAUGAUCAUGUUUUCAGUUCUUCUAGUGUUAAUGAAUCAUUAGCCGGUAAACCAGAGUUGAAAUCAGCUUCUCAUUGGAGAAGAAGGGAAAACCCCAUUUUUUUACCUCUAUUCCAUCCUGUCCCGGGAUUCCAUUAAGACCUGGCUCACCCUGUGAAUAAUCCAACACCAAGAUCAGUGACAUCAGGAAAAGACAGUAUUGUCCUGAUAUCUGGAUAUCUCAGCAAAAUACAGAAAGCAUACCCACUCCCUCUUUUUACACUCUCAUGAUUUUAUAUGUUAGAUAUAAGAUUUUAAUUUGUCAGAAUCUUAGUCUUUACUACAGCAAAAGAGAGUAGAUGAAGUUUAAGAAAUUCACAGGUGGAAAAUACAUGGGCACUAUUAGGGUAGUCUUUCCAUAUUAAUGAGGUACCAGAUCUUUUCCUAAAUCUGAAAAAUUACAUCACCUUUGCUCCUUUCAGGCCUGGAGCUCCAUCAUCCCCAGUGCGACCCUUUUUACCCUGAAAACAACAAAAUAAAAUUCCUAUAGUACGUGUUAGGCAAAUUAUUUUAUUUUACAUUAUAUGCACUAUUUUUUAAUAUUUAAGAUAUUUGUUUCCUAUAGAUUUAUUAUUAAAUCUCUUCAUAUUUACCAUAACCUUGAAAUUGAAUUUCUGGGAGCAGCAGGACUGCCUCAAUAGGCAGCCAUUUUUCUCUUUUUGUCUUUGCUAUAAACGAAAAUUGUUCAAGUCUCCUCUGAAGAACAGAGGUGAUCAGAUAUUUUGGUAGCUACCUAGCUUGCCAAGUGAGGGCUUUGCCUUCUUUCAAACUCUUUGAGGUGUAUGCUUUUGUUUUAAGAGGUACUUUCACUCUCCAAUUAAAUGCAUAGAAUAAUAAUAACUAUAGAGGACUGUGUAUUGAACCUUGAACUUUCAUUGUCUCAGUACUUGGGUUCAAAUAAUUUCUAAAAAAACUCCGUCAACGAAACAGAUCUUGUAUUUCAGUUGUUUGAGAAAUGACAGCUACUUACAGCAGGGCCAGGAAGGCCUCUUUCCCCCUUCUCGCAGUUACAUGUAGCAGCCUGGGGACACUUUGAAUGAAAAUAGUCUGAAUCAGCACAUUUUAAUAGAAGAAAUAGAAAACACAAACAUUGGUUUUAAGUUACUGUAUGGCCAGUAAUGAUCAGAAGCCAGUUAUAUUUACAUGUUUUACAAAAACCUUUUAACAGUCAGUUUACCACUCAGCAGGAAUGUGGCCUCCUACAUUCCACCCACAAAUCUAUACCGUUCCUACUCCUGAAAUGUCAGUCAUCUUAAUAAUGGCUUUACCUCCAAACUCUUCACAAGGCAGGUUUAUUGGUAUGACAUGUCUGUGACUGGACUGAAAAUUAAAAUGCUUCAGCUAUUUUCAAACACGUAGUAUUUAGACGUUUCCUUGAGCUGCUCAGCAGAACAGUCUUUACCCAAGAUAACUGGACCUCAAGUAGGACUCACAUCUUUAAAAGGAAAGCUGAAUUUAUUCCCCCCAAAAUGUCAGGCCGACCUACCAACACCUGCAGUCAGGGUGACACUGUGUGGACAAACAGGAAAAGUGCACUGGUGGAGCCUCCUGAGAGUUUCUGCGCUUUAACUCUAUUACAUAGGAAGGGCAUUAAGGGCUAGAACUGAACCCCAUUCAGCUCUGUGUCGUGUUUUCUUAUCCACUGAGUCUGCUGCAUGAUGUGCCGAGACAUAUCAGCAAGUUCUUGCUAACCUGAAUACUCACACUUUGUUCUUUUUCAACUUUGAAAAUAAGGCGGGAAAGUAAAUGACAUUAGAAUAACAAUUAAAGCUCUGUCCUGCAAAUACAAAAGCAUGUUUUACUAGAAGGCAAUGCCAUUAGACUCAAUAUUUAACCAACUCCCUGAGCUAUCAAUUUCCUUGAAUAAUGUUUCCAUAUAAUUGUCUAUGUUAAGCCGUAGUUCUGUAAUGGAAACAAAAAUACUUACCUCUUCCUCAGACAGAUCUUUCUGUAAAGACAGAUAUUUGAAACAACAUUAGAAACUUGAAGUCAUAAUCCAGCGUUACAGGAAGACACUGAAAGAUGUUAAAAUGUUUCGGCAGCUAGCAAACUGAAUUAUGCAAUUAACAUAUUAACUAACAUAAUUAAGCUUUAAUUUCUGAAAACAUUCUAGCAGUCUCUUCAGUCUAAAUAUAUUUUAAUUAAUUUCAAUUCCUAUUACAGAUUGUUGACUCCUCCAGUCACCGACUCUCCCUGUCCAGCCAUAAUCUGCCAAAAUUACAAUAGUAACCAGAGCUAAGCCACCAUAGUCAGCUGGGUAGAUAAGAACAGCAUACCCAGAAGCUACAGUUUCCAAAGUGCUGAAUAGCAGCAGCCUUCUCUUUGAAGUGAAUAAUACAUACCUCACACUUGAGAAAAUCAGAAGCUAUUCUAUGCAUACUCUUAGGCACACACAAAGUGAGAACAUUGAAACAUCUUAGAAAAGAUUUCACUUCAGCAUUGAUUACAUUGAGUUAUCAUCAAAUUAGCUGUUAUUUUUUGGAAGAUCUCUACAGCUGAAACACCCACAUACAAUGCAUUUGUCCCACGUUUUACAACUGGUGUAGUCUCUUGAGAGGACAUAAAUGUCUUGAUGAGCAGCAAUGCAAUAUACAUCUCUAAAAUUCAUGCAUAUGCACAUAGAAUUAUGCCCAAGCCAUUAUUUAAACCAGACAGCAGCCACUGUCUCAAAAGAAGGCAGGUGAGGGUGGCUGCCUGUUUGGAACAGGUGAAAUAAAGUGUGUUUAGUCAUUUGAAAACUGGUUGCUGUGAUGCAGAAAGCAAUGGUAAUACCAGAGAAGAUGAGGAGGGUGUUAUGCAGGGAAACCAGUGCAGAGUGGCAGGCUGUCAAAGUGAAGGACAGGUGGACAGAUAGGACGGCCAGCUUGUGUACAUGCUCUAGGCCUGUAUGAGAUCAACUAGGUGUCACUUUGGCUGCAUAAGUCUCCUGGUUUUUAUUCAUAUUUCUAUUUUUUAUCUCUUAGCUUGCUCGAAUCAGGACUUCAUCCACAGCUUGUGUCACCAGAUUUAUAGGCUAGAGGAUGGAUCUAUUCUUCACACUUGGCAGUGAAUGUUUUUUAUAAAUCAGGUUCAUAGAAAAAGUCAGAAAAAGGGCACCCAAGCAAAACCUCAAGCUUAAUUUACACAUUUCCUCUUGAUUGUGUGGUAGGUUUUCCCUGCAUAUAUAAAGAUGUCGAUGGCCAAGUUCAAGUUUUAUCUAAAAUGAUGUAUCUCCAUUAAGGUCUACGAAUUUAUUUGCACUUCUGCAAGAGCUGCAUCUUUUUUGGUACAAAGGGCAAUGUCACAUUCCUACUUGCUACAGAAGAAAGCAUUAGGGUAUAAAAAAAUUGGUUGUUUUUUUAAGAAAGGAGGUUUACUAUACCUUUCUUAGGAGGAAAAACAGAGAUAAAAAUAAGUUCACAACAGGUCUCUUUAAUUCUAAUUCAUUUUACAACUUCACAUAUUUUGGCUGGCAAGAUCUGAAUUGUGGGGAGGAGAAGGAAACCUGGACUUUGGUGCAAGGGUCUUUUUAAUAAAAGUGGGCUGCUUAACAAGUAAAAAAUACGGGGUUCUUUAAUAGCAACGGAGUUUUAAAAUAUUGGAAAUAAGACCAUUUUAACAUAUGUUCCUAUAAUGAUUUCAAAUCCUUUCUCAUACAUACCAUUUCUUUGAGAACCUUCUCCACAGUUUCCUUCUCCUGGAGAUUGAAAACGAACCUGGAUGCUGGGACACUGGCCAGGAGCCGGAGUUUGGCAGCAUUGCUCACCUCCUCAGCCACUCUGGUCAUCCCUAUUGUGAAAAAUACAAUUCCUUGGUGUUUAGCAUCAGCUGUAGCUGCAAAAAUAUCUGGGUUUCUUGGAUGGUCCACUCCAUCGGUGAAGAGCACUGCUACUUUCAGACUACCAGGAGUCCCUUCAGUCAUGUAGAGUUGUGUAAGGCUUCAAAAGUGGGAGUGCAAUUAUGGAAAUUUUUGAAAACAUCUGUGAUCACAAGUGUCAGACCUUCAUGAAGACAGAGCAUAUAGGGGCUGAGGAAUUUGCUUCAGAACAGAUGUCCUAAGGAACAAGAAACUGAAGGUGCAACUUUAAAAGCUUAGUGAGGCCUCCACAUUUUUAUAACUUUUUAUGUGGGAUGCAUGAUAUUCUGUCCAGAAUUCCAGGUAUGUGACAUACCAUACACUACACUUCUAGACUUGCAGCCUUCUGAAGUUGUGAUGUUCUCAGUACCUGCACAAUUCUUAUGGUUACAGUUUAUCAAAACUUAAAUGAUACCAAUGUGAAAUCUUUGUGCAUUGAUGCAUCUGAGAUAAGCUUUCUUUCCUCAUUCACUACAAACUUUACCAAGUGUUUAUUUAAACAUUUUAAUGGCAUUAGACUCUAUGUAUUCUUUAAAUGGAAUAAGUGUCUUAAAAGUGUCAUUUAAAUGUUAUAAAUUUACUGCUGGAAUUCAAAUUUUUGUAAAGAAAUAAAAUGUUUUAUAUUUUCUUAAGGAAUCUAGACAUUGGAUGCUUCAGCACAUAAUUAAUUGCAUUUCUGUUCACCAACUAUUUAAACUUAUUUAAGUAUCUUUGACAUCUCUGAGAGACGACACUACAGACUUGCAUACUCAGUUGACUAAGUUGGGCCCAGCUGCCCCAGGUCACAUAUGCUUCCAACAUGACAGUAGUUGACAUUAAGGUUAGUAAUCUUUGCAGGAGUCAAAGACAGAAAUUAAUAUAAAGGCCAUGUCACAAUUGCACCAGCUGAAGCUGAGGUCUCAAAUAUUGCUGCAUAUCCAGAUCUCUGGAUGUUUUCCAUCACUGUUUGAAAUCCAAGAGUUCUCAGCUGCCUGAUCUCAGUAUUCCAAUCUGAGAAAAGAGAGGCCUAACAUUUUUUCAAAGAAUAAAGGGGGAUAUGAGAAAUAUUUGAAACCACAGCUAAAUAGGCUAUACUCAAUUUGAGGAAAUUCUUUAUAAUUUGAGAAGCAUGAGAAGAAAGAUACACUUUUUCUGCAAGUGAGUGUGCGCUAUUAAGUGCACUAUUAAGGAAACCAAAGUGAUAUUAGCCCCCUUCAUCACUGCCAUUACCACUGCAUAGGUGGUAACAGCUUCAGAGCUACGUGAGGUUGCAGGGCCACUUUGAAGACACACUGAAUGAAGAACUGGGGCUUAGAGAUGCCAGCUGCUGUGUUGUAGCAUGACCUCUUGUGUCAGCAACAGCCAUCACUAUCACUUCCCAAUGGGCAGAAGUAGCAACAAGCCUGACUCUUCUAAACGUCUUUCCUGGUGCUCUCUUGUCUGUCCCUCCCAUCUGUGGGUACCUCUCUUACAGGCUGUUCUGGCUCAACUGUGACCACUUCAUCCAUUGGUUAGCAAAAUUCAGUACAUUAUUGAGAAGCCUUGAGUAAUUUCUGUUAAGAGGGAUUAACUAAUGUCUUUUAGCAUGAUAUCAUGUCACUAGAAUGUGACAGAGCCCUGACUAGUCCUUCUCAAGGUGUCAAACAAGCCUGCAACAGGACUGGAGAUAGAGCCAGCAUAGCUGGCAAAGUACCAUCUCAAUGUUUCUAUAUGUUAAAGGAAUACUCAGCCACUAGGGAGGCCAGUUUUUGCCACCUCAAUGUGAAUAACGCACAUAGCUUGUCUGCUGUGAACUGUUAAAAAUAUGCACAUUUCACACAAUCUUCUUCUAGUGUUUCAUGGCCUCAGGAUAGUCUUGACCAUUUAACCUGACUGUAUCACGCUGUAAUGGCAUUUCAAGAGUAUUAAUUCGUUAUACUAUACAUGUCACUACAUGACGAAAGUGCCCAGGAGAAACAGAAACCUACCUGACUUGAACUUGUGUAAAAUAAUUAAAGCACACCAUUUACAAUAUUUUCAAUCGAGAUAUUGAAGAGCAGUAUUAUUAACAAUGAGGUUCGCAGUCCCCGAAGUCGUAUCACAUGUGUGAAUGUUAGGAAAAACAGUUCAAAAGUUCAAAUAAUCUAACAAGAAAAUUUAAAAAAUCAAAACUCAACUUCACUGAAGAUUGUAUCUGAAGAAGGAUAAAAUAGAAACCUGUAUUUAAUCUUUUGGCUGCAAAAUGUGUUUUAGUGGAUUUGACAGCUCAAAAUUGAGGCUGAAUAGUCAGCUGAGUGUGGUAAGUCUUGAUAAAUUGACUUAUAUUUGCCAACUGUUGUGCCUUCAGUUUAAAAAAAAAUUAAUGUGGACCUGUGUUCUGUGACAAAACCUGAUUGUUCUGUAUGAAUAAUGAUGUCUUAAUGGCACAGCCUUACAAAAGCCUGUAAUGAAAUCUUGGGGUAUGCAAAAGAACUAUUGAUCCCAGUGGGGCCAGGUUUUGUCUUUGCUGUUUGGUACAAAUCAUGAGCAUAUAAUCUAGAAGAGCUGAUCAAAGCAAAUCAGCUUUAUUGUGUUUCCAUCUAAACAUGCUGUAAGCAAGGUCUUUGAUGGCAAAGAGUUAUUCUUUGUGUAGCUCCCAACAGAUUUUAAUGAUUCUUUGGGACUGGAGUGGUAAAUACAGCGUCCUCUUUGGCAGCUGGUAUUAACCUGGCUCUCCAUUUCCUCCUUUUUUUGAUAACGCUCUUUUGCAACAUU